UUUUUUUUUUUGUCUAAUCUUUCUCUCAGUUUUGCCAUAGAAUCUUUAACUACUCCUGAAUGAUCUGCAUAAAAACAACAUUGCUCUUUGAGGGCUGCACAGAGCCCGCCUUCUUUUAGAAAGACAAUCUCUAGUCCUCGUCGGUUUUGUAACACAACUUCAGACAGAGAAGUCAAAGACUCUUCAAGUUUUGUGAUAGAGUGUUUUAUGGCUCUAAGGUCCUCAUCUAUGGCUAUUCUAAGUUGGUGCAGAUGGUAGUUACCAUGUACUAGGGCUGCCGUCCCGGUCCCAACUCCAGCCGCUACCCCAAUUCCUAGCAUGACGGCGAGGGUGAGGGAGAUAGGUUCUCUUUUAGGUCUAAUAUGAGUUUUCUGCUCAUACCGGAGGUCCAAGGAGUCUCCAGAGUGAUAGUAGACUCGGGGAACAACUUGUACCAACACGCAAUAGUGGGUGCUGCUGCUAAAAACAGUUGUGGAUAUACAGGGGAUGAGCCCAGUGUCGCAAGCCCACCAGUCCGUCUCAGAGGGGACCAAAUAGCGAUUGGAGCUGGGUACUGCCAGGGUUAUAUUACAAAGAUGCCGAUGACUAGGGGGCACUUGGCCUAUACAGGUUCCCACCCCAGAAACUUCAGCCAGGGUCAGUUUAUUGUGUUGUUCCCACGCACAUCCAGUAGGAUUGGUGGAAUCAAUGAAUUUAUUAGUGGAGGCGAUGCCUUCGUAAUAAGGAGGGUCUGUUGCUAGACAUAGCCAGCAAGAGGAGGUGAAUUCUGGCCUUGUCUGGUUUAAGGCAAGAUAGGAGCCCUUUAUGAGAUUUAGGAGCCUGUCUCCUAUUCCCGGGUCAAGGGGCUAGCGGGUGACGUUUUGGGCUGAAGAUGUGUAUUCAGAGGAGGCGGAGAUCAAGGGCGGGGAAGUGCUUUGAGGAGCUUUUGGUUGGGGCUUCUCCGGUAUGGGAACCGGGGGCUUCUUUUCUUCUGAUAAGACCUGGUUCGGCCCUACUGCAACAGGGGCUAUGUCCGGGUCGACUAGUAAUCUAAUUUGAAUAGGGAUCCCAUACAGUGGCUUCUGGUAUAGAUAAAGGCCCCAUAUUAACCCUGUUAUCCAACUAUUAUCAGAUUUUGCCGCAUCCUCAAACUUGAUGCGGACCAGAUUGCAAUUUUUUGAAUAUCGGGUUCUGGUGCAGGGCUGGACAAAGGACAUGGUUAUGUACCAGGGUUUCGUGGCCCAUUUCCAUUCCCCAUCAUUAUUAGUUACACAGGACCAACUAUAGCAAUACAGGUGAGUUAUAUCUCCACAAGUUUUUUCCAUAUCCCCUGUCCUAAAUCCGGGACAGGCAUAGAACCCGUUCCGGCUGAUGGACACUCUUCUAGCCUGUUUUCUCCAUUCUCCCCCCUCCAUUUCAUUUACCCCUGCUACUUUAUCUAGGUUGAAAUAGAGGUCAGGGAACCAAGUCCCUAUAGGAGCAAUUUUUGAGGUUUCACCUAGGACCUCAUGAUUAUUAAAAUUAAUUACCUGCCAGGUCAGGUUAUAUGGCCGGUGGGGGUUAUUAUCAAUGAAUAUAUAUCCGGGCGGUUUCAUAUGUCCGCGUGGGUUAUUACUGCCAGCGGCGCAGGGAAGGAGGGCAAGCAAUAAGCAAGGGGUUAGAUACGAGAGAGUCUUAUCUUGAGCGGGUCCUUGGAGCGUCGGAGUUUCCAUGUCUCAGGUGGUGUUGGUCCAGGCGUCUCUGGAGCAGCCUUGGCGUGGGAUGCGUGGAUCCAAGUGGAGAUUCCGUCAACCUUUAUGGCUGUGGGUGUGGUCAGGAGAACAAUGUAGGGUCCUUUCCACCGAGGCUCUAGUCCUUGAGAGCGGUGCCGCCUAACGUAGACGGAGUCCCCCACCUGGAAGGGGUGGCUGGUCUGUGGAUGUCCUGGUCGGUACAGUUCUGCCAAGGGGGCCCAGAUUUGGGCCUGUACUGCUUGGAGUCCUUUUAGCCGGGCCUGUAGAUCAGUCUUAGGAUCGGAGGGGGAGAAGGAGUCAAGUAAGGUUGACAAAGGGGGAGGUCCUCCGUAGAGGAUUUCAUAUGGAGUGAGCCCAAAGCGGUUAGGCGUAUUUUGGGCUCUUAACAAACCUAGGGAUAGGAGGCGUCUCCAAUCUUUUAAACCAGUCUCUAAGGUCAAUUUAGUAAGGGUCUCUUUUAUUGUUCUAUUCAUCCUUUCUACCUGUCCUGAGCUCUGGGGUCUAUAGGCACAAUGCAAUUUCCAAUUAAUCCCCAAUAUCCUGGCUAGCCCCUGACUUACCUGAGAAACAAAGGCCGGCCCGUUAUCUGACCCAAUUACCUUGGGGAGUCCGAAUCUAGGAAAGAUUUCUUCCAGAAUUUUCUUGGCUACUAUGUGUGCCGUUUCUUGCCGGGUGGGGUAGGUUUCUACCCAUCCUGAAAAGGUAUCUACAAACACCAGUAAGUACUUAUAGCCAGCAUAGUGAGGUUUUACUUCAGUGAAGUCUAUUUCCCAAUAGGCCCCUGGGCGGUUACCACGAGCUCGUUUCCCUGCUGGUACUCGGGUAGCCCCAGCGUUUACCUGCUGGCAGACCUUACAGGCAGAUGUUACUUGUUCUACGAGAGUACUUGCCCUUGGGAUUAGAAAGUCAGUUUUUUUAAUCAACAAUUUCAGCUUUCGAUUACUCAAGUGUGUCCAGGCAUGCAUCUGCUGGAUCAUUGCCAGGGCCUCUUUUUGGGGAAGGACUAUCUUUCCUCCUUUUUUCCAGUUUUUAGUGUCUUUGUUUUUUAUAGCCCCUAUGGCUCUUGCUUCUUCCUGGUCUUCUGAGGUAUAGGUAUGUUCAAUGGUUAUGUGGCUGGUUUCGUCAGGUUCUGUGGCUAGGAUCAGUACUUCCGCCAUGGCGGCCUGCCUUGCCAUUUGGUCAGCCUGUCUGUUUCCUACUGCUACUGGAUCCUGUCCUUUCUGGUGUCCGGGGCAGUGAAUUAUGGCCACUUCUUGAGGAAGAAAAAGGGCUUUUAAUAAGGCAAUUAUUUCAGCUUUGUUCUUGAUUUCUUUUCCUUCUGAAGUUAGGAGACCUCUUUUUUUAUAAAUAUUUUUAUGAGUAUGAGCCGUUGCAAAGGCAUAUCGGCUAUCAGUAUAAAUGUUAGCUUUCUUUCCCUUGGACAGCUCUAGGGCCUUGGUUAGUGCUAUUAACUCAGCCUUCUCUGUAGAUGUGCCAGGAGGUAGUGAUUGUGCCCAAAUGGUGUUGUGGCCAUCUACUACUGCCACUCCCGCCCUCCGGGUACCUGAGUCAAGGUAACUGCUGCCGUCUGUGUACCAAGUGUGAUCCGCGUCUGGGAGUUCUUGGUCUUUAAGGUGUUCCCGCGUUCCAUGGGUCUCCACCAAUAUUUGCCGACAGUCGUGUGGGCUUGGUUGGUCUUCUGGUACCGGCAGCAGCGUAGCAGGGUUUAAGGUGACCGGAGGGCCAAACUGGACGCGAUCCGUGUCCAGUAGGAGGGCCUGAUAGUGGGUUAGGCGUGCGUUGGUUAUCCACCGGUCUGGGGGCUGCCGCACUAUGGCCUCUAGAGCAUGUGGGGUAAUAACAGUUAGUGGCUGCCCAAGGGUCAAUUUAGCAGAGUCCUUGACCAGCAUAGCGGUGGCUGCCAUGAUACGAAGACACGGGGGCCAGCCGGCCGCCACAGGGUCCAGCUUUUUAGACAGGUAUGCUACCGGUCUUUUCCAAGGUCCCAAUUUUUGGGUCAGGACUCCUCUGGCAAUCCCUUGCCUCUCCUCCAGGAAGAGGGUAAAGGGCUUUGAGGUGUCCGGUAACCCAAGGGCUGGGGCAGACAAGAGUGCCUUUUUUAGUGCCUCAAAAGCCAAUUGAUGCUCUGUCUGCCAGGUGAAAGGGGUACUUUCCUUGGUGAGUGCAUAAAGGGGGGCGGCCAGUUCAGCAUAACCAGGUAUCCACAAGCGACAGAACCCAGCAGUCCCCAGGAAUUCACGUACCUCUCUGGGCGUUCAUGGUGGUGGAAUGCGAACCACAGUCUCUAUGCGCCCAGGGGUGAGCCACCUUUUCCCUUCACUCAGGAUAUACCCCAGGUAUGUUACCUUGGUCUGACAGAGCUGUGCCUUCUUGGCGGAUGCCCAGUAUCCUUUUUCACCCAGUGCCUGGAGUA
ensembl:lncRNA